UACGUAGGUGGCAAGCGUUGUCCGGAAUUACUGGGUGUAAAGGGCGUGUAGGCGGGGGGACAAGUCAGAUGUGAAAUCCCAGGGCUUAACUCUGGAGCUGCAUCUGAAACUGUUCCUCUUGAGUAUCGGAGAGGAAAGUGGAAUUCCAAGUGUAGCGGUGAAAUGCGUAGAGAUUUGGAGGAACACCAGUGGCGAAGGCGGCUUUCUGGACGAUAACUGACGCUGAGGCGCGAAAGCGUGGGGAGCAAACAGG
rnacentral:rRNA from 1 species